rnacentral:lncRNA from 1 species
GCACAUGGCAUGUGGCUAAUGCGUUUGCAUCCUCCAAACAAACACAAUUGAGCACAGAAAUAGCACACAGAGAGGAAACUGUAAAACUAUUGAAUUUUAUAAUAUUUAAACCUCUCAGAGAUCCGUAUUCCCUGGCUCUGUUGCUCCUCCUCACAUGGCUGGCAGAGUCUGAGACGUUAGCCUCCAUGUUGAAAUUCAAGAGACAUACCAUGUCAUGGAAGCUGAAUCCAAAAGAAACCUCCCCAAGUCUACAGCUCUUCAACAUGGAUGAAAAUGCCGGAGAAUAGUUCAAAUCCUUAAAAGGUACGUUUUCUGGAUUCAAUACAUCUGCCCAUUUUCCCGGAUGAUUGUGUGCUAGGUGACUUCUCAGUUCGCUUCCGCUGUUUUAGAAGAACUAACUGUUGACGCAAGCCGAUGCUCGGUGUAGACCCUACCACCCUUAGUGCAUGUCCUCCAGACAUGAUGUCAUUGUAGGCAAGGUCAUUCACUCUGGACAACGUCACCUAUCUUCUCUGUGCAGUUACACAGCGUUUCACGAAUGUGGCUCCCCCCAGGUGUCAGUCUUCUCUAGGUAUCAUAGAUAAGAAUUAGAAGUAGAAUUCCAUUGGCCAGUGAGCCUGUUUCCUGUCUCAGCAGGACCUCCAUAUCAGACAUGUCUGGGAAAGCAAUGUCAUGCCUGGAGCACACUUUUUCAG